rnacentral:lncRNA from 1 species
GUGGCGGUGGGGCCGGGGCGUCGAGGCGGGACGAGAUUGGAGGGCCUUCAGGCUGGCGGGAUGCUGAGUGACCUUAGUCUACUGCGCGGAGUACAUCAAUGAAGUGGCGGCGGUGAACUGGAGGUGAACGGCCCCGGGCACGUGGACCUUGUGUGAGACCGUCCCCAUCAGCAGCAGAACACACCCAGGAAGCCCCCAGCUCUCGCUUAUAAAGCAGCCCCAGCCCCGUCCACAUCCCAGCCUCCUUCACGAUGAGCCUUGGACGGUGGCCACCGUCGGCCCUGGAGGCCCCCGAACAGAAGCGCUCUUGUCCGUGACGGGGAGACCGAGAUCCACCCGCGAUUUACUUGGUCCUGAAAACACUGGUCCCUGGUUUCCGGGACACUGGCCAUUCUGUCCUCGCCUGCGUGUCCUUUCCUGCUCACACACCUGGGCAAACCACUCCAUGUCCAGUGAGCCCCAUAAAGUCGACCCUUCCCCUGGGCCCCCCUUCCAGAACCGCCCCAGGUCUUCUGCUCCCUCGGGGCCCACAGCUUCUCCUUCUGGCUUCUUAGGACGGGGUCCUCGGGAGGCUGGAACGAGUCGGCAGGGGAGCGCCGCCGUCCCUGUGUCCCCGCAACCCGGGGGCUGAUGUGGCCCGAUCGGCACGCUGCCUCCCGGGUCUGCCCGCGGCACCCUGCCCGCGCAGGUCUCGGAGCAGAGUGACAGCCACGCCCCGGCCGCCGCGCCCUCCCGGCGGCUUCAGGCCCCUGUCAUUGGGUCAGGAGCCCGCCCUCGGCCCCCCCACACGACCCGUCCCCCCGCUUUGUCUCUUCCGCUUCUAAUUAGGACGCGCAUCCUGACCACCCCCGCUGGGCUCUGUUCACUGUGGCCCCAGGGUGAUGACCGUGUUGCUGAGUCAGUGACGUAAAGUUCGUGUCCUGCACUGCCACUGAGAGGGACGCUGGGGGCAGCCUGGCCCCGCCACGCUGUGUCCCCCUCUCCAGGGGCUCGGCCUGAGCUUGCAUGGGGGCCGCAGUGCCCCUGGAGGGUCUGGGAAUCGUCCCCCACGGGGUUAGGAGGGUCGCCUCGUAAAGGGACUGAGGUCGCCAUCGUGUGCAGGCGGGGCUCUGCCCGCACCUCGUCCUCGUGUGCGGAGGGGCUCCUGAGACAGAGAGUAUCGCGAGAACGCCAUGUUGUGACGCUCCGUGAUCUUUAAAUCUUUCUUGAAACAGGUUGUUCUCGAAGUACCAGUAUUUUGACUCGAGGGGCAUGUUCAUCUCCAUAGUGUUCUCGGCGCCCGUGCUACUGAACGCCCUGGCCAUCGUGGUACGUGUGUGCCGGAGCUUCGGGCCUCCGUCCUCCUCACACGUCCCGUGUCCACUUCUGACCGCGUCUCUGCACGGUUCUUUCCAGGUCCUGUGGGUGUGCAAGGCCCUGACCGUGAUGACCGACCUGAGGGCCCUGCAGCAGAGGAGGAGGGCCAGGGGCAGGCCCGGGAGGAGUGACGCCUCGGAUCCGGCCUCGCGCGCUCCUGGACUGCACUUAGACCAGCCUUUAGGACAGAGUUUGCCGCACGUCCACCAGGGCACUCGCCGGGCCUGCAGGGGGUCCCGUCUCUCCAGUUAAGUUGUAAGCAAACGGAACCACGCACGUCGCCACACGUCCACGGGACUCCUGUGACUGUGUGAACUACCAGACAUCCGUCCACAUGGGGACGGUGACUGAGUGAGGGACAGUGCCAUGCACGCGUGGGCACCUCCGUCACCCCCAUCAACUCGCAUCACCUCCAUCACCCCUAUCACGCCCGUCACCUCCAUCACCCCUGUUACCUCCAUCAUCCCCUGUCACCUCCACCCCCAUCACCUCCAUCACUCCUGUCACCUCCGUCACCCCGUCACCCCUGUCAACCCCCAUCACCCCCGUCACCUCCAUCACCCCGUCACCCCUGUCACCUCCAUCACCCCUGUUACCUCCAUCACUUCCUGUCACCUCCAUCACCCCCUGUCAACCCCCAUCACCCCUGUCACCUCCUAUCACCUCUAUCACCCCUGUCACCCCCAUCACCUCCAUCACCCCCUGUCACAUCCGUCACCCUGGUCUGAUCUGCAUAGCGGUGGCCUCUCCAUGUGGUGCUGCCACAGGACAACACGAGGGGCUGCCUUUCCUUUCAUCCAGUUAGAGAUGUGACGACCCUCGGAGGCCCUGGGUCGGAAUCCACAGAAGCAGUGGCUGGAUGAGCCCCUUGAGUUGUCUUUAGGAAGGAAAGUUGCCAGUAGAAACAGUCAACAUUCACCUGUUUCAACUAACAGAUUUUUUUAUGGCAAAUACAAAGAUUGAUUG